rnacentral:rRNA from 1 species
GACGAACGCUGGCGGCGUGCUUAACACAUGCAAGUCGAACGAUGAAGCUAGAGCUUGCUCUGGUGGAUUAGUGGCGAACGGGUGAGUAACACGUGAGUAACCUGCCCCGAACUCUGGGAUAACUGCUGGAAACGGUAGCUAAUACCGGAUAUGACCAAUGAAGGCAUCUUCUGUUGGUGGAAAGAAUUUCGGUUCGGGAUGGACUCGCGGCCUAUCAGCUUGUUGGUGAGGUAACGGCUCACCAAGGCGACGACGGGUAGCCGGCCUGAGAGGGUAGUCGGCCACACGGGGACUGAGACACGGCCCAGACUCCUACGGGAGGCAGCAGUGGGGAAUAUUGCACAAUGGGCGCAAGCCUGAUGCAGCAACGCCGCGUGAGGGACGACGGCCUUCGGGUUGUAAACCUCUUUUAGUAGGGAAGAAGCGAAAGUGACGGUACCUGCAGAAAAAGCACCGGCUAACUACGUGCCAGCAGCCGCGGUAA